rnacentral:rRNA from 1 species
GUCUAUGGCCAUGCUAAGCCUGACCUCGGAAGCUAAGCAGGGCCAGGCCUAGUUAGUACUUGGAUGGGAGACCACCUAGGAAGACCAGAUGCUGUUGGUG